GCGGCAUCGGGCUGAGCAAACCGACCGAGGACAAUGAUGAAAUAAAAACGCUACGUCACACACUCCGGCAGGAGGAGAGCUGGAAGAUGGGCACGGUAUCGCGAGAGCGGCGCGCGCGACCGCAGCGGCGCUGGAUGGCGCAGGUGGGGGCUGCUCGCGCCCACGGCUCGCCCUCUCUCUCACGUUAAAAUCACACGGUAGGACACGCGAGCAGGACCGGCACCGACGGCACCCGAGGGUGAGUAACGAAACAAAGGGAAGAGGGGAAAAAAAUCUGCACACUGCGCACCGCAAGAGAGGCUGGGAGGGGACGUGCACGUGACCGGGCAGAACACACCACUAGUAAAGUGAACAAGGCAUUGAAGGGCGACCCACAACAUUUAUCUGUCAGGAUCUGACCGCUCGGACAAACUCUCAUGUCCUCAAACACAAACUGCUAAAUCCAAGGAGCUAAAAAGAAGAAAAAGCCUGCCACCCGGCUCCAGAGGGUGGGAAGUAUCUGAAGUGAAAACACGUCUGGAGAGGGGAGGGUUGCAUGGGUGCCAGAUCCCCAUCCGACACACAACGCAUCUCCUCCACCACCUACAGCCGCGGCCUCCCUACUCUUCCUCCCUCUUCGUCCUCCCUCCUCUUUCUCCUCCUCCUCUGUUUUCCUCCUGUUCUCCCUCGUCCUCUCUCAUGGGAGUGACAUAGAGCCCUUGGCUUGGUCUGCUGCCCCUUCCCCCCCCGCCUCGCCGUGGAAACGGGGGGGCCCAGGUAGUGAUGUCGUGGAAGCGGAACUACUUUGCGUCGGGUGGCGGAGCAGUAGGCGGGGCGCAGGGGCUGGUGACCCCGAGAACCAUGACCUCCAUCGCACCGAGCAAAGGCCUAAGCAACGAGCCGGGACAGAACAGCUGCUUCCUCAACAGCGCUCUGCAGGUCCUGUGGCAUCUCGACAUCUUUCGCAGAAGCUUUCGCCAGCUGACCACACACAAGUGCAUGGAGGACUCGUGCAUCUUCUGCGCUCUGAAGAGUAUCUUUGCUCAGUUCCAGUUCAGCAGUGAGCGCGUGCUGCCAUCAGACGCACUGCGCAGCGCUCUGGCCAAGACUUUCCAAGACGAACAGCGCUUCCAGCUCGGUAUCAUGGACGACGCCGCUGAGUGCUUCGAGAAUCUCCUGAUGCGUAUCCACUUCCACAUCAGCGCGGAGAGUAGAGAGGACAUCUGCACCGCCAAGCACUGCAUCCCACACCAGAAGUUUGCCAUGACUCUGUUCGAACAGUGUGUGUGCAACAGCUGUGGCGCCACGUCGGACCCCCUGCCCUUCAUUCAGAUGGUUCAUUACAUCUCCACUACGUCCCUCUGUAACCAGGCAGUGAGGAUGCUGGAGUGCAGAGAGAAACCCACACCGGACAUGUUCGGAGAACUGCUCCGCAACGCCAGCAACAUGGGAGACCUGCGCAACUGCCCUAGUAACUGUGGGGAGGUGUUGCGCAUCCGCCGGGUGCUGAUGAACUCGCCGGAGAUCGUGUCCAUCGGGCUGGUGUGGGACUCGGACCACUCCGACCUGGCGGAGGACGUCAUACACAGCCUGGGGACCUGCCUGCGUCUGGGAGAUUUGUUCUACCGCGUGACAGAGGAGAGGGCUCGCCAGGCGGAGCUCUACUUGGUGGGCAUGGUGUGCUACUACGGCAAGCACUACUCCACCUUCUUCUUCCAGACCAAGAUACGCAAGUGGAUGUACUUCGACGACGCCCACGUCAAAGAGAUCGGGCCCAAGUGGAAGGACGUGGUGUCCCGCUGUAUCAAAGGCCACUAUCAGCCCCUGCUGCUGCUCUACGCUGACCCCCGUGGGACGCCGGUGAUACUGCAGGAGAGCCCCAACCCCUGUACCAGCUCCAACCCACAACUGGAGCUCCAGCACGCCAGCAGCAAGGCCGGUUACGACAGCGAAGACUCUGGCCGGGAGCCGUCCAUAUCCAGCGAUACCCGCACCGACUCGUCGACGGAGAGCUCGGGUCACCGAGCCUCCCGCAGCCGAUCCCUGCAUCAGUCGACGGGCAGCCACCUCUCCAGCGAGUCCCAGACCACCGUGGUCUGCAACCACGACAUCGUCGCGCCGCCGCACGGGGCUGACGCUGGAGAGUCAGCAGUGGAGGGUCCUCCCCGCCCUCCCUCUCCUCCUCUGCAGGAGUACAAGGAGACGGCCGUCUUCCUCCUCUCCUCCCGCCGGCCACUCACCUCCUCCUCCUCCUCCUCUCGCCCCCUGUCCUCCUCGUCUUCGUCAGGGGUUGGGGGCUGUGAGGGCGGGGCCGGGGGGCCUCAGUGGGAGGAUGAAAGCACCAGCAGUGAGAGCAAGUCCAGUUCCUCUGGAGGUCGCUACAGGCCAACCUGGAGGCCCAGAAGAGAGGCCCUGAACAUCGACAGCAUCUUCACCCAACCGAGAGGCUCCUCUCUGGGCUACAACACCCUGCCUGCUCCCUCCCUCCCUCCGGAGACCCAGGAAACCGUUGCCUCGGCGGGACCCGCUCCGCCUUCAGAGCCAGGGCUGCAGGAGGUGGAAGCGAGGGAGGCUGGGGAGUUGGAGGCGGGGUUUGGGCCGGUCGGACAGCCCAGGUCUCUGGGCAGCGGGCGGACAAUGGGUCCCCCUGCCCCUCCACCUCUGAGAGGGGUGGAGCACCAGCCACGUCUGAUUCAGAGGAUGGAAAGUGGCUACGAGAGCAGUGAGCGGAACAGCAGCAGCCCCGACCGGGAGGUGGGCCAACAGAAACGGGUGCUGAUGUCAGGACCUUCAUGGCGCUCGGUGCCCAAGUCAAAGAGCAGCGGUGCCAUCCUGCAGGAGCUGCCCUCACCCAGCUGGGGCGGCGGCUCCAACACCGCCACCGGCGGACCAGGGCGCAGUGAGCUGGACGAGCUGCAGGAGGAGGUGGCGAGGAGAGCCCGCCAGCAAGAGCAGCAGAAGCGGAGGGAGGCAGAGCGGGAGGCUGCCAUGGGAUUCAACCCCAAACCCAGCAAAUACAUGGACCUGGACCAGCUCCAACACCAGGCUGUGCUCAGACCCCUGCAUGAGGCUAACGCUCAUAGCGGAUUGGUUGUAGCUGCGUGCAUGAGGAGCACUGGGGGCCCAAUCAAACGCAGGCAGGAACAGGAAACGGAACGGGAGACAGGAAGCACCCGCCCACAGGGGCCUCGCAGUGAACAGCCUGGCCCGGUCCAAGUACUGCUGACGCCCAAUCAGGAGGAGGAAGAGGACCAGGCGACGGCCAAUCAGGACGCUGCUCUGGGCCCGGACCCGCCCCCUCCACCUUAUCGACCUGCUCCCCCUCGACUCCCGCUCACCCUCAGCAUCCCUCACCCUUGCGCCCCUUCCGGCCAAGGGGAGGAGGAAGAGGGUGGGCUCGUGGGGAGGAGGGGGGAGCAAGGCCAGGGCGGCAGUGAGGGGACGGGGGUGAGGCUGUGCGAGUUGCUGCAGGCAGGGGGGGUGAGGGUCAGACCCCUGGGGAAGCACUUAGCCAUCUCUCUGCCCUCGCUUCCUCUGCGUCUCUGGGACACACACACCACACACAGCGCGCACUCCGCACACCUUCAACCCACGCGCACACACCCUCCCCCUCCGCCCUCUCCUCCUCCCCCCUCCUCCCCGCUGCAAGCCUCUGGGCAGAGGAAACCUCUCACGCCUCUCUGGCAGCCGCCCCAGGCCCAUUCCACCGGCAGCGACGCUCCGCACUGGCCGAGGCACCAGGCCGCCGGCGACAGCGGCGCGCGUCAUUGGUCCUCCUGGAGUUUGGACCGCCCCGACGCCGUGGUGACGCCGUACGACACGCCCCCGGACCGAUGUGUCCCCAUCAGGCCGCAGACUUCCGGUCAGCGCCGCAGCCGCGGUUGCCAGUCCUCUCCGGGGCACUGCAGCUCCCAGCAUGCCCCGGGGCGAGAGGGCGAUCCCUGCUGUGACUGCGAAGAGGCCGAGCUGUCCGAGCUUGACUCCCUUUACCAGUCCAGUCUGCUGGCUGGAAAGACAGGCUGCAGCCCAUCAGAGAGGCUCAUAUCGAGGAGGGUGGUGGGCCAGAUUCGCUCCAGGACCCCCAACGCAGACAUGGAAAGGAGUGUGUACGGGGCGGACUGCACCCCCACCUACCUCAACAAGCCUCCGAUCGUGCGGGAUCCGCGCUGCGGGGGGGAGCCUGACGACGCGGGAAACCCGAGGCGGAUCGGACGCAGUCUGAGCGGCACGGCGGUGACCUCGCGCCGCAGCCGCCUGACUGCGACGCGUAGCUUCGUGAAGCAGGCAGACGUCAGUGCCUCUCCUUGCUUACUUCCUCUCUUCUGAGUCCCUGUUGCCAUUGCACCACUGUCAUCUCCUCCAUCCUCCUCAUCACCAACACCUUCUCAUCACCACCUCCCUCCACCGCUUCACAGGAGCUGCCGGGCGGCGCGGGGAGUUUCUGGCUGUGUCUGACGGGCGUCAAGCUGUCCUCCGACCAGUGUCCCCCUCUGCUCCACUGACGUCUCCUCCUGGACGGGCCUCGCCUUCGC